CCAGACCUCAUUGAGUCAUGGAAGGAUUAUCAUUGGAAGAAAUCAACAAAUGAUUUCGUGAACGAUGAUGCUCGCCAAGAUUAUGAAAAACUGAAGGCUGAUUUUGAGUUACAAACUCAGCAAACAUCCACUGAUGCUUCUAAUAAUGAUAGUCCAUCAUCAGUUGAUCAGGUGGAGGUGCUACAAAAGGUAUUAGGCGAAAGGCGUGGACAUGUGCGAGGAGUGGGCCGCAAAUUGAAGGGGUCGGGGUCAUCAUCUACCCAACACUCUCACUUCAGCGAGUCUCAAGUUCUUCCUCAUCAUUCAAGAGAAUAUAUAGAAAAAUUGGAGAAUAAUCUACAGAAAUUGACUGAUCAAGUUAAUUUCUUAACUCAAUAUUUUGUACCUUCAUUUCGUCCACCAAACGUUCAGAUGCCGCCUGUGCCUGAUAGUGACAAUAUUUCUAGGGC